GCCUCAGGGCCACCUCAUCAAACCCCAACCUUUUCCAAGACCAAGGUCCCUCGCAAGUUAAGCUGAAGGUUAAGCGUGUCUCAGGUUGUCCUUUUCUUCUCUGAUUAACUUUUGCCAGGUUAUAACCUUUAAGUGAAAAGCAUCGCACAGACUCACCGUACUGGAUUGGAUGCUGUUCGGAUAUGGUUUUUAGAUCACCUUUAAACUCUUCUUAAGAGAAGGAAGAAAAACGGAGAUGAAAAACAAACUUUGUUUCAUUGUUCCAGUUUCACUUUAAAAUGAGAGAACCUAAAACAAACAACUGUCUGCUGAUGUAAUAACCAACUUAUCCAGAUACUUUCUUCCCUCUGGAGACCAUCAUAUCCAAUUUUGUGCAAAGAUACAGGAAAACAGAAAUCCAAAUAACAUAAAACGUCAGAAAGAAGACAUGUCUUGCCGUACCUGGUACCUGACCCCAGAUAUACACAUAAUUGAAGAUGGACCCUGCUGGUGGCUGAGAAAAUGCCUUGGAAUCAGGUGAGCCGCAAAGGGGCUGCCUCGCUGUGGCGGCUGUUUCUGGACCUGUUCUCUCCAGUUCCUGAGAGGAAAUCGGAGAUUGGAUCUACCCCCAUAUUUCGGGUCACAGCUUCCCCCUAACCUUGAUGCCUGGAUAGGGAGCAAGCAGGUGCAAAUGACCAAGAGGCUGCUGGAUAGUCCUGGAUGCAACCAAGAACAACUUUGCACAAAGACCCUAGGAGGCCAGGCUGCAUCUCCAUGUAUGCAUCUACAGUUUUUGUGAUUCUUCAGAAAAAUUUUAGGGUCAUUGGAUCCUUAGAAUUCAUGCAUAUGUCCCCUUUGCAGUGGUUUGUAUUUUACUCAUGUCCAAUGGAUUUCCCAAGUCUCUCUGGGUACUGUGUUCCUAACCUUGUAGUUUGUUCUUUCAUCCAGUCGGUAAACAAGCAGUCCCUCUGGCUCCCCUCACAAACACUAGUGCAUGGAUUGGCCAUUAAGAAAGCCUGCUAAGGGAUCUGCUGCCUGUCUUUCUGGGAAGGAGGCACAUCCCCAAUAUGAUGUCCUUUGCUCUGCUGCUCGGGUUUGGGACUGGCGUGUCCCUGAGAACCAAGUCUUUUGAUUUUACUGGUAUGUGCUAUGGCUGCAUAAUUUUGUGUUCAAUGACUUGGCUUGAAGUCUCCAUAAAUGUCUCUGAUUUAAUUUCACACUUAAGCAAACCAGAUUCCUUGGUGGAUCCACAGAAAGAAGGUGCAUUUUGGGACCGGCACUCACUGGUCACCGGCACAACCUCUGAAGUAAGGCCAAGCUGGAGGUGUGUACACACUGGCUGCCUGGAGCUGCUGUCUUAAUGUGUCUGGGAGUAGGGGCCUCCACAGCCCACUGGUCAGUCACAGGAGAAAUGGUCACCUGAGCUUCCCUCUGUAACACAUGGAGCAUCCAGUCCUGCCAGGGACCCUGGUUGACCACAGUUUGACAGUAAAACUACAAAAAACCAGUUGUCUGGCCACUAGGAUCAACCAGGCAGAUCCUGGCCCUUGUUUUAUAAGGAUGAAGAGAAAAGGAAGAGAUAAAGAAGAAAUGAAGGAGAAUUCACUGGAACUAAAUUAAUAAAGUUAUUACAUUUGU